rnacentral:rRNA from 1 species
GGGUUGUGAGGUUAAGCGACUAAGCGUACACGGUGGAUGCCCUGGCAGUCAGAGGCGAUGAAGGACGUGCUAAUCUGCGAUAAGCGUCGGUAAGGUGAUAUGAACCGUUAUAACCGGCGAUUUCCGAAUGGGGAAACCCAGUGUGAUUCGUCACACUAUCAUUAACUGAAUCCAUAGGUUAAUGAGGCGAACCGGGGGAACUGAAACAUCUAAGUACCCCGAGGAAAAGAAAUCAACCGAGAUUCCCCCAGUAGCGGCGAGCGAACGGGGAGCAGCCCAGAGCCUGAAUCAGUGUGUGUGUUAGUGGAAGCGUCUGGAAAGGCGCGCGAUACAGGGUGACAGCCCCGUACACAAAAAUGCACAUGCUGUGAGCUCGAUGAGUAGGGCGGGACACGUGGUAUCCUGUCUGAAUAUGGGGGGACCAUCCUCCAAGGCUAAAUACUCCUGACUGACCGAUAGUGAACCAGUACCGUGAGGGAAAGGCGAAAAGAACCCCGGCGAGGGGAGUGAAAAAGAACCUGAAACCGUGUACGUACAAGCAGUGGGAGCACGCUUAGGCGUGUGACUGCGUACCUUUUGUAUAAUGGGUCAGCGACUUAUAUUCUGUAGCAAGGUUAACCGAAUAGGGGAGCCGAAGGGAAACCGAGUCUUAACUGGGCGUUAAGUUGCAGGGUAUAGACCCGAAACCCGGUGAUCUAGCCAUGGGCAGGUUGAAGGUUGGGUAACACUAACUGGAGGACCGAACCGACUAAUGUUGAAAAAUUAGCGGAUGACUUGUGGCUGGGGGUGAAAGGCCAAUCAAACCGGGAGAUAGCUGGUUCUCCCCGAAAGCUAUUUAGGUAGCGCCUCGUGAAUUCAUCUCCGGGGGUAGAGCACUGUUUCGGCAAGGGGGUCAUCCCGACUUACCAACCCGAUGCAAACUGCGAAUACCGGAGAAUGUUAUCACGGGAGACACACGGCGGGUGCUAACGUCCGUCGUGAAGAGGGAAACAACCCAGACCGCCAGCUAAGGUCCCAAAGUCAUGGUUAAGUGGGAAACGAUGUGGGAAGGCCCAGACAGCCAGGAUGUUGGCUUAGAAGCAGCCAUCAUUUAAAGAAAGCGUAAUAGCUCACUGGUCGAGUCGGCCUGCGCGGAAGAUGUAACGGGGCUAAACCAUGCACCGAAGCUGCGGCAGCGACGCUGAUGCGUUGUUGGGUAGGGGAGCGUUCUGUAAGCCUGUGAAGGUGUACUGUGAGGUAUGCUGGAGGUAUCAGAAGUGCGAAUGCUGACAUAAGUAACGAUAAAGCGGGUGAAAAGCCCGCUCGCCGGAAGACCAAGGGUUCCUGUCCAACGUUAAUCGGGGCAGGGUGAGUCGACCCCUAAGGCGAGGCCGAAAGGCGUAGUCGAUGGGAAACAGGUUAAUAUUCCUGUACUUGGUGUUACUGCGAAGGGGGGACGGAGAAGGCUAUGUUGGCCGGGCGACGGUUGUCCCGGUUUAAGCGUGUAGGCUGGUUUUCCAGGCAAAUCCGGAAAAUCAAGGCUGAGGCGUGAUGACGAGGCACUACGGUGCUGAAGCAACAAAUGCCCUGCUUCCAGGAAAAGCCUCUAAGCAUCAGGUAACAUCAAAUCGUACCCCAAACCGACACAGGUGGUCAGGUAGAGAAUACCAAGGCGCUUGAGAGAACUCGGGUGAAGGAACUAGGCAAAAUGGUGCCGUAACUUCGGGAGAAGGCACGCUGAUAUGUAGGUGAAGUCCCUCGCGGAUGGAGCUGAAAUCAGUCGAAGAUACCAGCUGGCUGCAACUGUUUAUUAAAAACACAGCACUGUGCAAACACGAAAGUGGACGUAUACGGUGUGACGCCUGCCCGGUGCCGGAAGGUUAAUUGAUGGGGUUAGCGCAAGCGAAGCUCUUGAUCGAAGCCCCGGUAAACGGCGGCCGUAACUAUAACGGUCCUAAGGUAGCGAAAUUCCUUGUCGGGUAAGUUCCGACCUGCACGAAUGGCGUAAUGAUGGCCAGGCUGUCUCCACCCGAGACUCAGUGAAAUUGAACUCGCUGUGAAGAUGCAGUGUACCCGCGGCAAGACGGAAAGACCCCGUGAACCUUUACUAUAGCUUGACACUGAACAUUGAGCCUUGAUGUGUAGGAUAGGUGGGAGGCUU